rnacentral:piRNA from 1 species
UUUCAAAGAGAAAUUGUGAAGAGCUUC